GCCUUCUUAGCUCAGUGGUAGAGCGCGUCACUCGUACUUCACUCUCAUUCCAGAGAAUCUACAAUGACGAUGUCGCUUGUUCGAUCCAGGUAGGAGGCA